GAGGGCGGGGCUACGCAGCAUCAUCGGAGCUCGUUUUAUUGUACGGCUGCUGAUGCUGAGAGGUCGCGCUGAGAAAUAUGUAGGACCAUGAUUGCGGAUUUGAGGUUUUGGCACAUCGUGGCGGAUUGUUUUUUAGGUUUUCUCACUACAAGGAUAAUGAGGAAAAGACGGAGCUGGAAACGUCAGUGUAACUUGAAGUGAUGGAUAAUAAGAGUGUUUGAGGAACCCCUACAUCUGACCCAAUGGCAAAG